CCUACGGGUGGCUGCAGUCGAGAAUCAUUCACAAUGGGGGAAACCCUGAUGGUGCGACGCCGCGUGGGGGAAUGAAGGUCUUCGGAUUGUAAACCCCUGUCAUGUGGGAGCAAAUUAAAAAGAUAGUACCACAAGAGGAAGAGACGGCUAACUCUGUGCCAGCAGCCGCGGUAAUACAGAGGUCUCAAGCGUUGUUCGGAAUCACUGGGCGUAAAGCGUGCGUAGGCUGUUUCGUAAGUCGUGUGUGAAAGGCGCGGGCUCAACCCGCGGACUGCACCUGAUACUGAGAGACUAGAGUAAGGGAGGGGGAACCGGAAUUCUCGGUGUAGCAGUGAAAUGCGUAGAUAUCGAGAGGAACACUCGUGGCGAAGGCGGGUUCCUGGACAUUAACUGACGCUGAGGCACGAAGGCCAGGGGAGCGAAAGGGAUUAGAUACCCGUGUAGUC
rnacentral:rRNA from 1 species